UAGGGAAUCUUCCACAAUGGACGCAAGUCUGAUGGAGCAACGCCGCGUGAGUGAAGAAGGCUUUCGGGUCGUAAAACUCUGUUGUUGGAGAAGAAUGGUCGGCAGAGUAACUGUUGUCGGCGUGACGGUAUCCAACCAGAAAGCCACGGCUAACUACGUGCCAGCAGCCGCGGUAAUACGUAGGUGGCAAGCGUUAUCCGGAUUUAUUGGGCGUAAAGCGAGCGCAGGCGGUUUUUUAAGUCUGAUGUGAAAGCCCUCGGCUUAACCGAGGAAGCGCAUCGGAAACUGGGAAACUUGAGUGCAGAAGAGGACAGUGGAACUCCAUGUGUAGCGGUGAAAUGCGUAGAUAUAUGGAAGAACACCAGUGGCGAAGGCGGCUGUCUGGUCUGUAACUGACGCUGAGGCUCGAAAGCAUGGGUAGCGAACAGGAUUAGAUACCCUGGUAGUCCAUGCCGUAAACGAUGAAUGCUAGGUGUUGG
rnacentral:rRNA from 1 species